GGAGGCCGACCUCCGGCAGGGGCCGCCGGCGUGCAGACAAAGGUUGGUUCCCUCGUCUCUGUUCUAUCUCAUGUUUCACUUCUCUCUCCCUCUCUUCAGCGAGCAUCAAGACCUUUGUCGGCGCCGUCCCCGACUCCAUGGAGGAGCGGAGCUUCAACUAGAUGAGGAAACACAGAAGGGGGUUGAGCGGGAGGAGCACAUGCUGCUGCCAUUAUUUUGCCUCAAUGGGAAGCAAGGGCAGCUGCAGGGCGCGCACCACGGCCAUGACUCCGGAGCUGCGGCUCCAUGGCGUCGAUCUGGAGCGUGAUGGCGGCAGAGGAAGCGAGGCCCCGACCUUCACAGCCACCAUCCUCGCCAGAGCUCCUGCCCCACCAUCAUUCCACCCUCCCCUAAGAUCCAUUGUCUCCAUCUGGCAUCUUGUGUACAUACUGUGUGUGGAGCUGCUCCAUAGCAUAAGCAAACAGCCCCAAGGUUCAAGUAUGCACAUCACUUGUUUGUCUAAAUGCUUGAGAAGCAACGCUGCUCAAGGAAUGGAUACAUGAGCAACAUAGGACAAACCCAAGGGCUAAUCAUAAGGAUGAUGAGAAGGUGCAGUGAGAAAUAAUUCUUGUUUGAUGUGAAGUCUAGAUCUAUAUAAGUGGACGGGCAUUCUUUUAUCACUGUUGUGGAUUUUUAGUAUGGUGUACAUGAUCGGGGUCGGUUAUAUGAUGUAUACAUGCAAGUGUGCCGGCUGAUGCGAGCCAAUAGAAGAGGAGAAGCCAUGGAGAAAGGAUUAGGAGAGAUGUUCCAUGCCCUUAGCUACUGCCUUCCCAGCACCAACUUAGGCUACAUCAGCAAGAGUGAAGUUGUGCAAAAGGGAAGAUGGACUCGUGGUCAGCUUUUUUUCACCAGUGGUCAAAGAAUUGGAAGGUAGACCACGUUUUAAUGAGAUUUUUCAAGAAGACAAGUAUCCAGCAGAAUUCUCUUACAAAGGACCUAUAAAGGAGUUGUUUAGAAUGUGGUUGAGGUCAGCUCGUGAAGUGUCCCAGGUGGCUCUCCUAUAACAGGAUGGUGGCACGAUUGAUAUUUGCUCAUGAUAUUCGUCUUUCCAUGGGUGUGGUAAAACGAUGGAGGGUUUAUCACUUAGGGUGUUCUUAGUCUCCUCAUUAUUUGUAUUGUCUUGGCUUACACAUAAUAGAAUCAAGGAUGACAUAAUAAUUCUGAAUUUCAUCAUAUGUUCCUUAUUUAUUCCCCCCUCUCCCAAAUUGCUUGAUUAAGUCGAUUGGUGUGCUUGGUAGCCCACUUGGUGGUCCUUAUUAGGAAAACCUUUGCUGUAGUUUAUGGGUCCUACUUGAUUGUUUGGUCCUGACCAUUACUUCUUUGUGACUAAGCUCUUCCUGGCAUGGAUAUUGUGAAAGGCUGGCAGCUCCCCCUUCCACCACUAGACCAUAAACUUAGGUGUUUUUUUUCCUAUAAGAACAUGAUUCAGGUUUUUACUUGACACAAAAGAGAUAAGUUGAGAUUCGUUACUCAUUUUCAUAUUUUUGUUUUCCUAAGCAAAAAGAGAGCAGGACUAUUUUUUUCUCUUAUCACUGUAAGCAGUUUGCAAUUUUCGGUUGCAUGCUUAUAUAUGAUCUAUGUUCAUGUGGCUUGCAUAUAUAUGAUUCUACAACUUGCAGAUAUAUAUCUUUCCAUAAGCAGGCGUUCAAUUCAAUGACAAUGGUUAGUGUACACUUUAGCUAGAGUUAUGUAGAUGAGACCUGGAAUGUUUGUAGUGUGGUCUUAGAACAUGUGCGCAGUCCUGUAAAUUAAAAAAUCAGUUGAAGGUGAUACAAUUUUUGCAUUUUCAAUCAUAUAUUUCACUAAAACAUAUACUUUGUGUAUUCUCCCUGCAUCCUCACGGCACUCAGUCCAGCAAACCUUGCCGCCCAUAGUCGACCAGCAGGUAAGUGCCUUAUCGCGGCCAUAUUAUCCCAUCAUUAUGUGUAGGCUUUGAGCGAAUAGUGAGAAAAGUGUCCGGAGGGGUUAUCAUUGUGCGAUUUUCAUGCUACAUUAUUUUGAAGAUCUGCCUAGGAUAAAAUUGUGAUUGUAAGUUUUGUGUCUUUUUAUUAUCCACUCUUCUAUUUAAGUUUGUCAAUCUAGAUAUUCACUCCAGUAUUUUUUAUUACAUUCUCUACUCAUGUAUUUACUGCCAACAAUAAUUUCUUUUGGGCUUUCUCUUGGUAGGAUAUAUUUUGUCUAUGCGUGUUUUUGGCAUACUGUAAUGCAUUUUAUGUAAAUUGCUAACAUAUGCUCAAUUUUCCAAGGAAUAAUUUAUGUUUUCAAUGAAUUUCCAAUAAAUAGAUGAUUAAAAGAUUUUUACAAUACUGGUUUGCCACUUCGUUGUGGCGAAAUAUUUUUGCUGCUGUCACUUUGGUACUUGUUUGUAGAAGAACUCAUGUAGAAUUUCAUACACUCAGGUACAACCUAAUAUGUUGGACUUUACAAAAAAAGCGAUGUUGGUAUAUACUCUUAAUUAGAUAGAUACCUUCCAUGCCCUUCAUCAAGUGCCAAGAAAAUAUUGAAAUCCAGUCUGAACCAUAUCAUAAUGCACUCCCAAUUUUUUUUGUACCGAACGUGAUUUCUGUGUUAAAGACCUGAGCUAAAGAUCGGAUCUCAAAUCUUUUCAGCACUGAACUUUUGCACAUGACUAUCUGGUGAAGACUUGGCCAGUUACUCCAGUCAUGCGUAGAUGUUAAAAGUAGCUGACUUUUGCCAACAAAACUAGCUAAACAUGUAUCCAGUAAUAUUGAUAAUUGUAUUUAGUACUCCCUCCGUCCAAGAAUAUAUAUUUUUUUAACUUGGUUUCUUGCCUAUAGAUGCUCACAUAUUGACAAUUAUUGCUUUUUGUUACUAAAAAUUGGCUGCAGUGUUCAAAAAGAAUUAUGAGUGUUGCAUUGCAAUAUGUUGCCUGAUCUGAAUAGUAAUAUUCAAAAAUGCUGUUCCAUAAAAAUGGUGCAAUAUGUAGCAGCGAAGAACUUGAUUUGUUUCCCCCUUGAUUGUUUAUCAUGAAAUAGUUUUUUUGUCUCCACCUGGUUGUUCCUAUUUCUGUUGUGUAAUAGCAUACCCAUUUAUGCGCAAUAGGUGAGACGCUAUUUAUUUGUAACUUCGAAAACAGUGAGUACUACCCAUAAUCACUUCAACUUUUAUCUAAGAAAAAGCAUAGGAACGGGAGAGGAUUGAACAUGUCAUUUUUGUUUAAUUUAAUGGCAUAUUAAACUUGAUGCACAUGUCACAAGUUAUAGCAGAGAAUGCACACUCGGGAUGAUUUUGAGAUCGCUGGGGAUAGCGAGAGCCAUGAAGGAACUGAACUUGUAGCUUAAUUCCAUUGGUAUUACCUUACACAUGAUAAUCCCAUUGGUAUUACCUAAACCACUAACUUUACCAGCACUAUUACCUUACACAUGAUAAUCCCAUUGGUAUUACAAAUAUUGUCUUUUUGGUUGCACAACUACUUAGUUCUUAUCGAUGAUAAUUUAUGUUGUUAUUCCUGUAUGGAUGAUCAUUGAUUUACAUUGUUAGUUUGUAAAUACACUAUAGGUACAAUAGAAUAUAAGGUCCUCUGCCUGCUACUUUGUAGGGAAGUGGGUAUGACCCUCUCACAAUCUCGGGUGAGGUAUGUCAAUCUCAUUUGUGUUGCUACCGUAGGUGCUUUGAAUUUAUUCGUGCUAGUUUUGCACCCUGUGUUUUUUUUCAUAGCAGGGUGAUAGUUAGCAUUGCUUUUAGUUACAAAUAUAUUGAUUUAGCACUGAAUUUGAGGAUCUAUAGAAAAGUUUUUAACAUCAGCAAGGAUCUUUACAAUUCAUCACUGCAGAGAUAUUUGUUCCACUAAUUCCCCUUAUGCUGUGCUGCAGGUGGUGGUUACUUACAUGAUAGACAUAUUUUUUUUCAUGGUUACUUGUGCUUGAUAUAUACUUAUCGUCUGCCUGGAUGUCAUGGUAACUUCAUUUGUGGUUGAUAAUACGAAAGCCACCGGCAUCAUCUGACGCAUCUGGAACAAAUAAUAGGUAACCUCCUUUUCUAUGUGUGCAAGAAGCUUAUAGAUACCUGCUGGGAUAGUGCUUCUAUGUAUCCCUGGUUUGAAUGGUUUCAUGGCAGGCAUCCUUUGUAGAAAGCAAGGAUACAAGUACCAAAUAGUAUUAUCUAUGUUGAAGCAGAACAUGGGAUAGAUAUCACCUACAUGAAACUGCAGAGUAAGUUAAUCCAGCUGGAUCACUUCAAUGCUUUUGCCACGUCUGAGACUGAGAGGUAUGGACCGUAUGGUGAACAAAUCACUCGAUCUAUCAACCUAACACGAGAACUAUUUGCGAAAUUAACCAGCAGAGUAAGUUAAUCCAGCUGGACACUUCAAUGCUUUUGCCACGUCUGAGACUGAGAGGUAUGGACCGUAUGGUGAACAAAUCACUCGAUCUAUCAACCUAACACGAGAACUAUUUGCGAAAUUAACCACCUAUGGGGCUUGUCUGUUUCCCUCGGCUACCUGUGUAGAUAAGUAUUGCAUCUUUUAUUCCUGCUUUAGCUUUUACCAACCAUAUCUGGAUGAAGUGUCUUCCUUCAAAAUCAACUCUAAAACAUCAUUACAUUUACUUCAUUCCUCAUGCCAUGCCUCCCAGCCUUUUAUAUCCAUUCAACACAGUAUUGUAACCCUCUUAAAUACUUUAUGAUUUCACAUAUUGUCUUCGUUGUUACUCAAAAGUUGUUCACGUAGAGGUUGUCAAGAUUGUAUCCACUAUGCCCGAGGACAUGCUGAAGAAGUUGCAGGUCCAGUGAUAUCGUCUUAGCGGCUUUUAUGGCUCUUUAAGUUUCCUCAGUCAUCACCUUUGUUGUCUAACUUAUUAAACAGUGCUGGUUCCAGCAAGUACGAUUACGAUUUCUCUCGGCUUAAUGUAAAAUGUCACUCUGUUGGUCUGUCGGCUUAUUAUAAAGUGUUUCGCAAAAUGUU